GGGAAGCACAUGACAUCAGCACCGCUUUCCUAUCAGGGAUGCCAGCCCCCACGCAGAGGAGCUCGGCGAAUUUGCAGGGUGGAGCAGACGGUGGUGUUCUUCCCGCUCCAGAGCCCUCUGUGGGACAGACCAAAGCUGGACUCCAAGGGAGCCUCCUGUCUACCCAGCGUCUCCCUGCUGCUCCUGCCCCCGAUUCUGACUGUGUCCCGGGAGCUCCCAGGUGGGAGCAUCUGUGUGAGAACCCUCAUCCCAGCCUCCGCCUCCAGGAACGCUGGAGUUGGACUCACAGGAAGCAGAUGAAUGGCUAUUGUUCCUAACGUGACCCAGCUUGUAUUU
rnacentral:lncRNA from 1 species